rnacentral:tRNA from 1 species
CAAGGAAUAGUUUACUAAAAAUUUUAAUUUUGGAGAUUAAAGAUGGAAGAAUUCUUCUUUCCUUGA